GAGCCACUACAGUGACAACACUGGAUCUUUAACCCACUAGGCCAUCAGGGAACUCCUCAUCCUUUUAUAUACUAAUUUUUAAAAAUUGACCCUUGUCAGUACAUUUUGGUAUAAUAAAUUUAUUCUGUCUUAAAAAUAAGUAAAAAUAAAAAUAAAAAGUAGUGCCCUUGUGCGUCACAAUUUAGCCUGCAGUCGAUGCUUAGAACAACACACAGGCAGACUUUGGGGUUCCAGACCACUGCAGUAAAGUGAAUACUGGGAUAAAGUGAGUCACAUGGGGUUUUUGGCUUCCUGACGCAUAUAAAGGUUACAGUUACACUGCAUUGUGUCUUAAAUAAAAAAAACCCCAAGGUAUAUCUACCUUAAUUAAAAAUACUCUAUUGGUAAAAAAUGCUCACCAUCCUCUGCUUUCAGCGAGUUGUAGCGGUAACAUCAAAGAUCACUGAUCACAAGUCACCAGAGCAGGUGUAAUAAUAAUGAAAAAGUUGGAAAUACUGUGAGAGUUACUGACUGUGACACAGACACAGGAAGGGAGCAAAUGCUGUUGGGAAAAAAAAAGGUGCCCAUAGAUUUGCUCAAUAUGGCAGAGCCACAAACCCUGAGUUUGUAAAAAACACCGUUAUCUGUGAAAGGCAGUGGUACAAAGACGGAAAAAAGUUAACUCAGGCAGCAAGAAAGCGUUGAAGGACUUUUAAAGAAAAGUAAUUUAAAGGUUCAAGUAGAAGAGACUGGAACACAAAAUCGAGGAGAGAAGAGAAACAAGAUAAAUCCUGAAGUUCUCUCUCUUUAAGAAGACAAAAUGGUCUGGGCAAUAGAUCUUAAGCAUCCCAAAGCAGUUCAGGGAACUCUCCUACCUUCCUGGGGCCAGUGGGGUGAGGGAUGGGGUUGGCGGGGGCGGUGGGGGGGGAACAGUACAGCCACUCUGGAAAUCAGUUUGGUUAAGUUUUUAUAAAGCCAAACAGAUUCUGACCACAUGGCCCAGCAAUCCCAUUCCUAGGUUAUUUAUUCAAAAAAAAAAUGAAAACAUACAUUCCUAUAAAAACCUGUAUGUGAGUAUUAUGGAGGUAUUGGUUAUCAUCACCAAAAAUUUCAAACAACCCAAAGGUCCUUCACCUGGUGAAUGAAUAAGCAAACCCUACAUCCAUAAUGGAAUACCCCUCAGUGAUAACUAGGAGCAAACUACCGAUAACACACAACAGCACUGGUGCAUCUCAAACAGCUGUGGACUGUAUGAUUCCAUUUAUAGGACAUUACAGCCAAAGCAAAACUAUUAGAACAGAAAACAGAUCAGUGGUUACCAGGGGAUGAGGCUGAAGGAACAUUUCAGGGUGACGGAAAUUUACAUUUUUGCUUAUGGUGGUUACACAACUGUAUGCACUUAACAAAACUCACAGCUGUACACUUUUUAAAAGAGCACAGCCCUGUAAUGACAAAGAAGAAAAAAAGAGAAAGAGUGAAUGUUACUGAAUGUAAUCACAUACUGAUACACCCAACAUUUUUUUUCUUUUUUUCUUUUCAUACCCCUCAAGGCAGAUGAAAGUUCCCGGGCCAGGGAUUGAAUCUGAGCCACAGCUGCAACCUACACGACAGCUGCAGCAAUGCCGGACCCUUAACCCCCUGUGCCACAGUGGGAACUCCCACGUCUGACUUUUUAAAAGCAGCUCAGAGCAAUUACACCAACAAGAUUACCACAUGGAAUGGGGCUCUUAGGACCUUCUACAAGGUUCUAAAGACCAUUUUCCAUCUUCGUCAAUGAACUCUCACCCCUGUUUUCUUCCCAUGUAAUAUUUAUAGGAAGAUUAUUGGUUGCUCACUGGUAGGAGACAAAGCUCCAUUAAUCUU
rnacentral:lncRNA from 1 species